GACAGGAUGAAAUUUCAAUUUCAGUUUGCUCUGCUGUUAACUGUUAGUACAUUUGUCCUUAGUUCACCUUUCAUUGCCAAUUCGAAGAGUGCGUUAAGUAAUAUGCGAGGAGGAAUCGGAAAAUUAAAAAGUAUACUUGAUACCAUGGAUCAAAAGAUAAAGACUUUGGAUACGAUUUUUCUUCGUUAGAAAAAAACUUUAAAGUUUCAGAACGAAAAUGGUACAAAUAUAAAGAACACUGUUACUACUCCAGCGAAGAUCUCACUGAUUGGUUCACUGCAGAGAAUAGUUGUAGAAAAAUGGAUGGAUAUUUGGUUAAGUUUGAUGAAAAGGCUGAAAACGAAGCCAUAUCAUCUAACAGACGGCUUAAGAAAGAGCAUUACUGGAUAGGACUGACAGAUUUGAAGGAAGGAGAGUAUCGAUGGAUCUAUGAUCAAACCAAAGCCACUUUUUUACCUUGGACCAGAGGGUAUGGUGCAUCAGGAACUAAAUAUAACUGCGUAAUGCUCCAAAGAAAAAUAGCAAAAUGGAUUGACUAUUCAUGUGGAUAUAAAUGGCGUUAUAUUUGUGAGAGCGAUCAUUGCUACUAAUGCUAUCGGAUCGAACAGAACUGAAUACCUGUAAUUCAAAUAAUACUGAUUCGUAAUAAAUGUUUUCUGUUCUACAAGACGUUAGUUAUUUAUUAAGCACAAAUUGCACUCAUAAGAGGUCAAAGGCCGCAUACAUAAAGUAACAUU